rnacentral:rRNA from 1 species
GACGAACGCUGGCGGCGUGCUUAACACAUGCAAGUCGAACGGAAAGGCCCUGCUUGCAGGGUACUCGAGUGGCGAACGGGUGAGUAACACGUGGGUGAUCUGCCCUGCACUCCGGGAUAAGCCUGGGAAACUGGGUCUAAUACCGGAUAGGAGCCAUUUUUAGUGUGAUGGUUGGAAAGUUUUUUCGGUGUAGGAUGAGCUCGCGGCCUAUCAGCUUGUUGGUGGGGUAAUGGCCUACCAAGGCGGCGACGGGUAGCCGGCCUGAGAGGGUGGACGGCCACAUUGGGACUGAGAUACGGCCCAGACUCCUACGGGAGGCAGCAGUGGGGAAUAUUGCACAAUGGGCGCAAGCCUGAUGCAGCGACGCCGCGUGGGGGAUGACGGCCUUCGGGUUGUAAACUCCUUCGCUAGGGACGAAGCUUUUUGUGACGGUACCUAGAUAAGAAGCACCGGCUAACUACGUG